CAUCGCUGUCGCUGUGAGCUCGUCAUCGUCGAAGCUUCCUGUGUGCUUGUCACAAGAACCCCUUUUCUCUGAGUGCGUCAUUGUCUUCCUCGAGCUCGUCACGACCCCGUCAUCUACAGUUUCGAUACAGACAAGUCGUAAAGUCAGCUAUAGUACUCUCUUGAAAAAUGGGAGGCAUGCAAGGGACUAUACCCUUUACACUGGGGCUCUUGGGACAGCAUUUUUGGUUUUCAGGGCUUAUCAAGUCACCAAGAAUGGCAGUGAUCUUAGCUUAUGCUCUAAUAUUGUUAAGGCUAGUGAUUCUGCUUCAGAAGAUUUAGUCGUGUGACAUUCAUCUGUGGUUGUGCUGGUGUUUGUGUUCUUGGUGUUGUCUGGUGCACAAAAAUGAAACUUGCACAACUGAACCGGCAAGUGCACCGGGUCGUCCAAGUAAUACCUCAGGGAGCUAUUAUAGGGCCGUUGAUAACUACAGUCAUGAUUGCUCUGAAGAAUUUAUAUGUUGAAUUUGUUCUUGAAGAACCUAAAGGAAAGGUUAUGCUGACAAGCCAUUUACAUUUGCUUUGUAUGUGUAGACAGCUGCAGUUCUACAUUUAAUUUAGUGUUUUUUAAUUAC